rnacentral:rRNA from 1 species
AUUGAACGCUGGCGGCAGGCUUAACACAUGCAAGUCGAGCGGGGGAAGGUAGCUUGCUACCGGACCUAGCGGCGGACGGGUGAGUAAUGCUUAGGAAUCUGCCUAUUAGUGGGGGACAACAUCUCGAAAGGGAUGCUAAUACCGCAUACGUCCUACGGGAGAAAGCAGGGGAUCUUCGGACCUUGCGCUAAUAGAUGAGCCUAAGUCGGAUUAGCUAGUUGGUGGGGUAAAGGCCUACCAAGGCGACGAUCUGUAGCGGGUCUGAGAGGAUGGUCCGCCACACUGGGACUGAGACACGGCCCAGACUCCUACGGGAGGUAGCAGUGGGGAAUAUUGGACAAUGGGGGGAACCCUGAUCCAGCCAUGCCGCGUGUGUGAAGAAGGCCUUAUGGUUGUAAAGCACUUUAAGCGAGGAGGAGGCUACUCUAGUUAAUACCUAGGGAUAGUGGACGCUACUCGCAGAAUAAGCACCGGCUAACUCUGUGCCAGCAGCCGCAGUAA